CAUUCUAAGCGGUGGAUCACUAGGCUCGUGGGUCGAUGAAGAACGGGGCCAGCCCCGAGAAUAAGUGCGAAUUGCAGACACAAAGAACAUUGAUACUUCGAACGCAUAUUGCGGUAUCGGGCCAGCUCGAUACCACGCCUGUCUGAGGGUCGAAUUUGCGUAAGAAUUCGUCGUCGUCGUCGUCGUUAGAGCGCCGAUCGCGCUCUAAGGACGACUGAGCAAAUGUUCGUAUAGACUACUGUCUAAUGCGAAUUAAAGAGAGCUAUGUAGAAGACCGCGAACGUAAAGGUCUCGAUUACCGAGUUGUAAAACGUACGCGAACGCGUAGCCGAAUGAUAAUCGAACGAGCGCCUACUAGGUCGAACUAGGCUAAGGCAUGAAUCGAAACGCCUAGUCUACGUUCUCGAUUCGCCUAGUAGUCGUCGUCGUCGAUCGGUGAAUCACGCGCGCGCGUAUCGUUCUCGUUUAUUCGACCUCAAAUUAGACGUGAUUACCCGCUGAAUUUAAGCAUAUAACUAGGCGGUGGAAAAGAAAUUAACUAAGAUUUCCUUAGUAACGGCGAGUGAAAAGGAACGUUCGAGUUCAGCGCUGAAUCCUCGAGCCUUUGGCUUUAAGGACCUGUAGCGUUAAGGAGAGCCUAUCCGUCGGUACGUUCGCUUCGUAAGCGCCCUUGAACGGGACCCCGAAGAAGGUGCGAGGCCUGUACCGAAGCGACGUCCGUCAGUUUGCGCCUCCGUAGAGUCGGGUUGCUUGAGAGUGCAGCCCUAAGCGGAAGGUAAACCCCUUCUAAAGCUAAAUAUGACCACGAGACCGAUAGCGAACAAGUACCGCGAGGGAAAGUUGAAAAGAACUUUGAAGAGAGAGUUCAAGAGGGCGUGAAACCGCUUAGAAGAAA
rnacentral:misc_RNA from 1 species